GAAAGACCCCGUGAACCUUUACUAUAGCUUGACACUGAACAUUGAGCCUUGAUGUGUAGGAUAGGUGGGAGGCUUAGAAGUGUGGACGCCAGUCUGCAUGGAGCCGACCUUGAAAUACCACCCUUUAAUGUUUGAUGUUCUAACGUUGACCCGUAAUCCGGGUUGCGGACAGUGUCUGGUGGGUAGUUUGACUGGGGCGGUCUCCUCCUAAAGAGUAACGGAGGAGCACGAAGGUUGGCUAAUCCUGGUCGGACAUCAGGAGGUUAGUGCAAUGGCAUAAGCCAGCUUGACUGCGAGCGUGACGGCGCGAGCAGGUGCGAAAGCAGGUCAUAGUGAUCCGGUGGUUCUGAAUGGAAGGGCCAUCGCUCAACGGAUAAAAGGUACUCCGGGGAUAACAGGCUGAUACCGCCCAAGAGUUCAUAUCGACGGCGGUGUUUGGCACCUCGAUGUCGGCUCAUCACAUCCUGGGGCUGAAGUAGGUCCCAAGGGUAUGGCUGUUCGCCAUUUAAAGUGGUACGCGAGCUGGGUUUAGAACGUCGUGAGACAGUUCGGUCCCUAUCUGCCGUGGGCGCUGGAGAACUGAGGGGGGCUGCUCCUAGUACGAGAGGACCGGAGUGGACGCAUCACUGGUGUUCGGGUUGUCAUGCCAAUGGCACUGCCCGGUAGCUAAAUGCGGAAGAGAUAAGUGCUGAAAGCAUCUAAGCACGAAACUUGCC
rnacentral:rRNA from 1 species